GAUGAACGCUGGCGGCGUGCUUAACACAUGCAAGUCGAACGAGCUUUAUUACUACGAUCCUCUUCGGAGGUGACGGUUUUAAAGCGAGUGGCGGACGGGUGAGUAACGCGUGGGCAACCUGCCGUGUACCGGGGGAUAACAGCUGGAAACAGCUGCUAAUACCGCAUAACACCUCAGUGUCACAUGACACAGGGGCCAAAACUCCGGUGGUAUACGAUGGGCCCGCGUCUGAUUAGCUAGUUGGUGGGGUAACGGCCCACCAAGGCGACGAUCAGUAGCCGGUCUGAGAGGAUGAACGGCCACAUUGGGACUGAGACACGGCCCAAACUCCUACGGGAGGCAGCAGUGGGGAAUCUUCCGCAAUGGGCGCAAGCCUGACGGAGCAACGCCGCGUGAGUGAAGAAGGUUUUCGGAUCGUAAAGCUCUGUUGAGAGGGACGAGAGGCAAGGCUAGGAAAUGAGCUUUGUAGGACGGUACCUUUCGAGGAAGCCACGGCUAACUACGUGCCAGC
rnacentral:rRNA from 1 species